UGUCGACAUUAUAGUUGUGCAGGCACUUUGGUCACUCUAGAGAACCCCGGGCCAAUCAAACGUCCCUGUGAUGGCGAUGACGCAUUCGGAUGUCUGCCCUAUCAACUUUCAAUGGACUUUCUGCGCCUACCGUGGUGACCAUGGGUGACAGGGAAUCAGGGUUCAAUUCCGGAGAGGGAGCCUGAGAAAUGGCUACCAUAUCCAAGGAAGGCAGCAGGCGCGCAAAUUACCCACUUCCGAUGCGGGCAGGUAGUGACGACA